rnacentral:rRNA from 1 species
GAUGAACGCUGACAGAAUGCUUAACACAUGCAAGUCUACUUGAAUUCACUUCGGUGAUAGUAAGGUGGCGGACGGGUGAGUAACACGUAAAGAACUUGCCUUACAGUUUGGGACAACUAUUGGAAACGAUAGCUAAUACCGAAUAUUAUGAAUUUUCCGCAUGGAAGAUUUAUGAAAGCUAUAUGCGCUGUAAGAGAGCUUUGCGCCCCAUUAGCUAGUUGGUGAGGUAACAGCUCACCAAGGCGACGAUGGGUAGCCGGCCUGAGAGGGUGAACGGCCACAAGGGGACUGAGACACGGCCCUU